UUCUGCAAAUACUCUGCUUGGGAGUACUAGAAGUUCCCUAAAGUGUAGUUUGCUUUGUGUUUUCAAAUACAUAUAAAGUUUACUGGCUUUAUAAUGUCUGUACUCAAAUGAGUAUUUGAGUCAGAUAGACUGAAAAAAUAAUAUGAAUGGGAGAUUAUCACAAGAUUAGCACAAGAUUUGUUGGCCAAAUCAUGAAAUACAGAGUAUAUUAUUUCAUACUUAACAUUGUUUGUUGUCUUUAUUAAAUCUUAAAUUCAAAAAAAUAGUUGCAAUAAUUUUAUGUGAUAUCUCUUCUUGUUUUUAUAAAAGUUUUAAGAGUUUUGAAAAGAAAAUUUAAUAAGAACUAAUAUAAAUGAAAGAAAGGAAAAGAUGCAAAUGCAAAAGGAAGAAAAGGAAAAGGAAGUACGUUCUGAUUUUCAUUACAGCAAAUAUAAGUAAAACUACAAAAUUACCUUUUACUCAGUGUAGUUAAAGUCUAGCAAAACGUUUCAGUGGAUUUUUUUAAAUGUAGGCCAUGAAGCAAUAUAGAACACUCUCUUUCAUGCAUCAAAUAGAUAUUUAAGAGCUUCUUCAGAAGAGCCUAUUCAGCAGAUUUCAUUGGAAAGACAGGAUAAUCAUCAGCUCUUUCAGGACUUUUAAAGAUGUCAAGAAUGUGAAUAAUAGACAUC